UAUUGAACACAUGAUCCAUUAAAUUUGAUUUCCUUCCAUCUCUCAUUCCAUUUAAAUGACCCCUGACUUGUUCAAUUGAUGGUCGUUCUGAUGGUCUUUCAGUCCAGCAAUCUCGGAUCAGGUGCAGCUGAAAUUAUUUUACAUGACUAC
ensembl:ncRNA ZC412.11 ncRNA